rnacentral:rRNA from 2 species
GUAGUCCUUUAAAAUUAAUAGCGGAUUCGUUAAUUAUACUGAAUAUAAUAAUUCUAUAUUGUUAUAAUUAUACGGCGGGUUCUUAUUGUAAAACCCCUUAUUUUUAAAAUUGACUUCGGAUUAAGUAGGAAUACCUAUUGAAUUUAAGUAUAUUAAUAAAUAGAGGAAAAGAAACUAAUAAGGAUUGUCCUAAUAAUAGUAAGUAAAGUAGUAAUAGUUCAAAUUUAAAAUCUAAUUUUAACCCGAAUUAUAAUUUAUAGAAGAAACUUUUAGUAAAGUACCUUUUAAGUCCCUUAAAACGGGGCGCUAUAAAGGGUGAGAGCCUUAUAUAAUUAAAUGCCGAUUUAAUAUAAAGUUCCUUCGACGAAUUGAAUAGUUUAGGAAUAUUAUUUAAAAUAGGAAGUAAAUUUCUUCUAAAACUAAAUACUAAUUAGAGACUAAUAGUAUAUAAGUAGAGUAAUUGAAAAAUGAAAAGUAUUUUGAAAAGAGGAUUAAAUAGUAUAUAAAAUUAUUAAAAGGGAAGUGUUUGUAAUUAGAUUUAUACCGUUCCAAUUAUUCGGUAUUUUUAUUAGUAUAUUUAGGACGGUUUAAAUUAAUAUCGGUUUUAGUAGGAGGAUAAAAGUCCGGGGAAUAUAGCUCCUCCGGGAGUAUUAUAACCUUAGGUAUAAUACCCUCGCUAGGACCGAAGUUCGUAUAUUUAUAAGAAUAUUAGUGUAAUAGUUAUUAAUAACCUAUUUUAAAAUAUAAAUUAAGGAGUUAAAGUUUUAUACGAAUAUUUAGGUAUAAAACCCGCACGUAUAAUAAAAAUAAAUAUAAAUAAGAGCUUCGGCGUAUUAUUAACUAAUUUUAAUAUAUUUGGAUAGAUUUAAAUAAGAGCGUUAAACUUUAAACCCGAAAGAUAGUAAAUUAUAUUUAAAUAGGGUAAAGUUAGAGGAAACUCUAGUAGAAGCUUGUAAUAGUUUUAAUAUAUAAAUUAAUUGUUAAAUUUAAGUAUAGGGGCGAAAGAUUAAUCGAACUAUCUAAUAGCUAAUUACCGCCGAAAUUUCCCUUAGAAUAGCAGUAUUAUUCUUUAAUUUUAUAAAGUAAAGCGAAUAAUUAGGGAUUCGGGGGCGCUUUUUAACCUUUAUCCAUUUUCAAACUUUAAAUAUAUAAGAAGCCCUUAUUACUUAAUUAAAUAUAGGCAUUCGAAUAUACCAAUACUAGUAGGCCAUUUUUAGUAAGCAGAACUAGUAAUAUAAAAUAAACUAAACGCGGAAUUAAAGUACUAAAGUAGAUGCUCAUUAAAUACUAUAAAAGGCGUUAGUAUAUUUUAAUAGUAGGACGGUAGCUAUAGAAGUCAGAAUUUACUAAGGAUUAUAUAAUAAUUUACUUACCGAAUAUACUAGCCCUAAAAAUAGAUAGCGCUUAAACGUCCUACCUAUACCCCGCCCUUAAGGUAGAAACAAUACCUUAAGGAAUAAAUAAUUAUAAAGGUUAAUAACGAAGCCUAGGGCGUAAACCUAGGUCGAACGGCCUCUAGUACAAAUUUUAAUAGUAAUAGUAAAUACUUUAAUAAGAAUUUGAAGGACCGAAGUAGGGAAAGGUUUUAUAUAAAUAGCGGUUGGAUAUAAAUUAGUCGAUCCUAAACUAUAAGGAAAUUCCGUUUCAAAGGGGCACUUAUACUCCAUAUAGCAAAAGGGAAACCAAUUAAUAUUCCGGUACUUAGAUAUAGGUUUUAUAUAGCAACGUAAUUAAAUACAGAAAUAACGGUAGGGGCCCCGGGUAGAAUUCUCUUUUCUUCUUAAUAAUCUAUUACCUUAAAAAUAGUUUAUUUAGAAAUAGGGUUUAAUAGCCGGAAGAGCCUAAUACUUUUAUUAAGUCUAAUAUACUUUUAAUAUCCUUUAAAAAUCUACGGGAGGGAAUAAUUCUUACGCUAAAUCGUACUUAUAACUAUAAUAAGUUUCUAAAGUAAAUAGCCUCUAAUUAAUAGAAUAAUAUAAAUAAAGGAAAUUAGUAAAAUAGAUCCGUAAUUUUAGGAAAAAAAUUAGCUCUAAGGGUU